ACUCUGCUUAUCCAGUUCUCCGAGAAACUACAAGGAGAUAAACGAAUAACUGGGAUUCAUGCAACCAUAUGUGAUCAGAUGGCCGACGUGGACAGCUGGUUUAAUCGGCAUAACAUGCGUUAUGCCGUGCCUGCUUUUUCAGCAAACAAUGAGCUGCAACACACGAUUACCCCCAUUUGGGCCUCGUCUUUUUCGGGCCAAGGCUCUCUUUGGCCAUGCAAUGCGGUCAUGCUCAAAAGAAAUACUGGAAGUUGCCAAAACAAUUCCGUCUGA
rnacentral:lncRNA from 1 species